rnacentral:rRNA from 1 species
AUGAUAAUAGGGAUAGUGGGGGGCAUUUGUAUUCCGUCGUCAGAGGUGAAAUUCUUGGAUUGCCGGAAGACAAACUACUGCGAAAGCAUUUGCCAAGGAUGUUUUCAUUGAUCAAGAACGAAGGAAGGGGGAUCGAAAACGAUUAGAUACCGUUGUAGUCUCUUCUGUAAACUAUGCCAAUUGGGGAUCGGUACAGGAUUUUUAAUGACUGUAUCGGCACCCGAAGAGAAAUCUUUAAAUGAGGUUCGGGGGGGAGUAUGGUCGCAAGGCUGAAACUUAAAGGAAUUGACGGAAGGGCACCACCAGGUGUGGAGCCUGCGGCUUAAUUUGACUCAACACGGGGAAACUCACCAGGUCCAGACACAAUAAGGAUUGACAGAUUGAUAGCUCUUUCUUGAUCUUGUGGUUGGUGGUGCAUGGCCGUUCUUAGUUGGUGGAGUGAUUUGUCUGGUUAAUUCCGAUAACGAACGAGACCUUAACCUGCUAAAUAGACCAGCCGGCUUUGGCUAGCUGCUGUCUUCUUAGAGGGACUAUCAGCGUUUAGCUGAUGGAAGUUUGAGGCAAUAACAGGUCUGUGAUGCCCUUAGAUGUUCUGGGCCGCACGCGCGCUACACUGACAGAGCCAGCGAGUCUACCACCUUUGCCGGAAGGCAUGGGUAAUCUUGUGAAACUCUGUCGUGAUGGGGAUAGAACAUUGCAAUUAUUGUUCUUCAACGAGGAAUACCUAGUAAGCGUGAUUCAUCAGAUCGCGUUGAUUACGUCCCUGCCCUUUGUACACACCGCCCGUCGCUACUACCGAUUGAAUGGCUUAGUGAGGCCUCCGGAUUGGCUAUUGGGAGCUCGCGAGAGCACCCGACUGCCGAGAAGUUGUACGAAGGUGGUCAUUUAGAGGAAGUAAAAGUCGUAACAA